AGAAGGGAGCUUGCUCCCGGAUGUUAGCGGCGGACGGGUGAGUAACACGUGGGUAACCUGCCUGUAAGACUGGGAUAACUCCGGGAAACCGGAGCUAAUACCGGAUAGUUCCUUGAACCGCAUGGUUCAAGGAUGAAAGACGGUUUCGGCUGUCACUUACAGAUGGACCCGCGGCGCAUUAGCUAGUUGGUGAGGUAACGGCUCACCAAGGCGACGAUGCGUAGCCGACCUGAGAGGGUGAUCGGCCACACUGGGACUGAGACACGGCCCAGACUCCUACGGGAGGCAGCAGUAGGGAAUCUUCCGCAAUGGACGAAAGUCUGACGGAGCAACGCCGCGUGAGUGAUGAAGGUUUUCGGAUCGUAAAGCUCUGUUGUUAGGGAAGAACAAGUGCAAGAGUAACUGCUUGCACCAUGACGGUACCUAACCAGAAAGCCACGGCUAACUACGUGCCAGCAGCCGCGGUAAUACGUAGGUGGCAAGCGUUGUCCGGAAUUAUUGGGCGUAAAGGGCUCGCAGGCGGUUUCUUAAGUCUGAUGUGAAAGCCCCCGGCUCAACCGGGGAGGGUCAUUGGAAACUGGGAAACUUGAGUGCAGAAGAGGAGAGUGGAAUUCCACGUG
rnacentral:rRNA from 1 species